rnacentral:rRNA from 1 species
CCUACGGGAGGCAGCAGUGGGGAAUUUUGGACAAUGGGCGCAAGCCUGAUCCAGCAAUGCCGCGUGAGUGAAGAAGGCCUUCGGGUUGUAAAGCUCUUUUGUCAGGGAAGAAACGGCAGUUUCUAAUACAGAUUGCUAAUGACGGUACCUGAAGAAUAAGCACCGGCUAACUACGUGCCAGCAGCCGCGGUAAUACGUAGGGUGCAAGCGUUAAUCGGAAUUACUGGGCGUAAAGCGUGCGCAGGCGGUUUUGUAAGUUUGUCGUGAAAUCCCCGGGCUCAACCUGGGAAUGGCGAUGAAGACUGCAAGGCUAGAAUCUGGCAGAGGGGGGUAGAAUUCCACGUGUAGCAGUGAAAUGCGUAGAGAUGUGGAGGAACACCGAUGGCGAAGGCAGCCCCCUGGGUCAAGAUUGACGCUCAUGCACGAAAGCGUGGGGAGCAAACAGGAUUAGAUACCCUGGUAGUCCACGCCCUAAACGAUGUCUACUAGUUGUCGGGUUUUAAUUAACUUGGUAACGCAGCUAACGCGUGAAGUAGACCGCCUGGGGAGUACGGUCGCAAGAUUAAAACUCAAAGGAAUUGACGG